GGGGCUGGGGAGGUUUUCUCCUCGGGCUUUGUACCGCAAGCUGGUGGUGUCACGGAGCAGGAGCACCUCCGCUGGGAGAGGGAGAUUCCCUCUCGUGGACUCGCUCCAGGCGCUCGUAUUUAUGGAGAUUGCAGCCAGCACUCCACCCUGUUCCUUUUUCCAUGCGGGAUCCAACAGAAAAACCUCGCGCGGCGGUCACGUGGCGGGUUCCUGUAUCUCAGCGGUGGAGCAGCGGCUGGAAAACAAGCCGCAGCACUGCUCCGAGCUGCUCCUGCUCGCCUCACGCACGCUUGCUGGGCGAAUCCUUCAAAACAGCUUGUGCAGAAAUAGCCAAAGCACGGGACGGAGGGGUAUUUAUUGCCUUCCAUAAGAAUUUCACUCGCUUGCCCAUGGAAUAUUGCUGGGAUGCCUGAGGAAGGAGCCAAGGCUAGCAGAGCAUGGAGGCUGGUGGGCAACACCAGGUUGAGCAAAGCUGGCCAGGCUUGGCUAGCUGUGUCAGUUUCUCCCUACAGGAGACAAGAUGGAUGAGGCCACUGUCAGCUGAGAUCACUGGCUGAACUUGGGUCCUCUGGGGCUGAAGAAAUAUACAACGGCUGCUACAGUUGAAGGCAUCAGGAAAAAUGCUAAGGUGUGCUCGCUGUUCGUAAACAUGUUGUACCUCAGGAUGGGUACCUUAUCUAGAAGAGAAAGUUUUUCUAGAUCUUCUCUGGUCAGUUGUCUGCACAGGAUGACCCAACCGUGCUGUGUCAAAACAAAGAACACAUACACACAUAGCACUGCGCUGUGAUAAAAGCUGCUCUUCUGCGCAGUGUCCCAGCUUGUGAAACCUGUCUGGUUUUGCAUAAUAGAUAAGCCUCAGGAAGUAUAAAAGUAGUGGGAGUGCUUGCAGUAUGACCAAGUUACAGUUUUACAGUCGUUUAAAGGUCAGCAGCAAAUCGACAUCUACACCCAGUCCUGCAGGAUAAGGUUUUGUAGGGACAAAGCUCUCAGGCAAAUACCUGCGUCAUUUGCCUACGGCCAUACAGAAAAUCCCAGGCUGAAGAAGGGACCGAGAUCCCACCCUGUCGCUUGCAGGCCAUGGCCAGAGUUACCAAGCCAAUCUUUCUCAUCAUUUACCUAGCACAGACUUUGAAACCUAAGCCUUGCGGAGAAAUUUUUGAGGAAAAAAUUCCAGGCCUGAGGUCUCACAGGGCAGCUACUCUUUUUCCUCCUAACUUCUGGAUUCUCUCUCUCUCUCUCUCUCUUUCUUUUAAUUUAUUUAUUACUUGAAAAUGAGUUUUGUAUGAGAAGAAAGUUAAACUGCUGAAGGAGACUAACAAGUUUAUGGAUGUGAUUAUCUCCCAAAUAGUUAAUGUCUCACUUCUCAGUUAAACAUUUAUUUUUUCAAACUUGUUUUCAGCCCUUCUAAUAGGCUUCUGGCUAGGUUAAUUAAGAGUGCAACUAGGCUGAAAACAAAUGAUCUCUGUGAUAGGAUAGGCAGCAUGCAGGCAGCAGUAACAGCAGUACACAAACUUCUGAAUGCUGUGAAUGCCUCUGGACUUCACCAACAGGUGUGUUGAUCAGCUCUCGUUCUUCUCUCACAAGAAAAAUAUCACCAUAGCUGGUUAUGGCUCAUGCCUGCAAAUGUAAAAAGCUGUAGAGAGACAACAGUGUACAAGGAAGAUUUGUUAGGCCAUGGACUGAGGUCCUUACCAAUGCCAAAUAAAAACUCAAAAUCAGAGGUUGGGUGUUUUGAGGAAAAGUUGGGUUUAUACAUUUGCAUAGGUGGAGGGACAAGAGUUGGUGGAAAAAAAAAAAGUCUAAACCACGAAAACCUAGUGUAAAAAAUGUUCCACCUGCUGUGAAAACAAACAUCAAGGAUAUUAAGAAGAGAAGUCUGAAGCAUUUCUAUGUUCAGAAUUUGGCUGAAUAAAGAGAAGCAGUAAAAAGCACAACUACAGGUGAAAGCCAUAGAUGGUCUUAAAGAAUGGAAAGAUCUGUGCUGCAUCCUGCAACUGCUGGAAAGAAGAGGCACACAGGGGGAUUAACAAGCAGAUCACAAGACAAGGUGGAGAUUUGGAAGAGCUACGGCUGAUGUUCAGGCAAGAGGAUCUUGAAGCAUCAUGGAGCACGCUUAAAUCCACAGGUAGAAGCCAGGCUGUCAUACCCUUACCUCAGCUGUCAACUGGGAAGCCUUUACUGGCACUUGUGCAGCGUGCCACUCCCAGGGAGAUUUGGGAGUUUGUUCUGCAGUGCCUGGCACCACUCCUACAUUCACAGAGCAAUUCACAUCUCCAGCAUAUCACCUCUCCACCUAGGUAAGACACAGCAGCUCAAGGGGGACGUUCAGAGAGCUCUGCCAGGCUUUCCUCCGGAUUUUCAGAGCACUAAAGCACCCCUUGUCUAUGCCACACCAAAAAAUCCCCCCUCCCCAUCAUGAUCUUCCUCCCACAGAGCAGCCUUGCCGGUGAUUUUGGCCUGCUCCUCCCUUCCCCAGCACUCCCCAGCGAGCUUCUUGCUCUGACAAAUUCUCCCCUGGCAACAAUAGCUGCCGCCGGGUCCCUCCCAGUCUGUGGUCAUGGCUACUGGGGUGUGAAGCGCUCUGCCCACCUGAGUCAGAAAUGCUCAGCAGCUCUGCUGACAGCACUAACAAAGAGCCAGGCAGCAGAGGAAUGGUGCUCAGCCCUCAGGACCAGCUCGGAUGUAAGGAUUGCUGGCCCAAACGCUGCGAUUUCUCAAAUUAUUAUUGCUAUUUUUCAUUUCUAGCAGCCCUGCAAACCAGUUAUGAAUUUAUGAAUCCAUCCCACACGUUAUUUUCGAACUACCUUUUCUUCAGAGAAAAAAAAAUACCGAAAUAAAAACGUUUCUCUACCUAAAAAAAAUGAGCCAGCGUUAUGUCUGGGGAGUCGAAAAGAAUCCCCAAAUUAGGCUACAAGCAGAUGCUGUGUAUUGUUUUGAUUGCAGUUGUUCUAACCGACUAUGUUUGUAGAUCUGUAAAUGUUCAAAGGGAUUUAAAAAUAAAGAAGGCACUUUUUUUUUUUUUUUUUUUUUUUUUUUUUUUUUUUUUUUUUUUUUUUUUUUUCCCUUCCAGAGCCUUAAAAUUUAAAUUCUAUCUCCAUGCUCGCUAGAAAUCUUUUUUUUUUCUCUGCUUGUUUUUUACCGAGCUUCCUAUGGAAGAUCCCCCUUUUUUUUUGCUUUUUGAAGGGAGAGCCUUCAAUUCAUCUCUGAAACGUUUUCAGAGCAGGCUGAAACAGAAGCACUGACGCUGCAGAAGCUCAGGAGAAACUCAGGGCUGGUGGGUGCUUGUUCUGCAGCCCACCCAUUUCGCCUGUGCUCGGGGCAUCUUGCCUGUGCUCCUCCAGCACUGCCCCUGCAGCAUCUUCCUUUGGGCACACGUUCCUCCAAGUCAAGUGAGCAGCCUCGCACCUUUAGCUGGCUGCAGUGCUGAUCCUCCUCCGAAAGGUAACUGAGCUUAUUUAUUUCACCCAGCAGCGAUCACUGGACAAGGCACAGCAGCAGAACCAGGGCUCCUGGCUCUCCGUUGCAGCCCUGCCCAGCAGCUCAGGAUCAAUGCUCUGCUGUCCAUUUUGGCACAAAUAUGACAUUUCAGCAGGAGCUAAAGGUUUCCUGGUAGUAAGAGUGUGUUCCCUGAAGCAAUGGGUUUAUCUUCUUUAGGAUGGAUUGAAUUGAAUCUGGGUCCCCCAUGUCCUGGGUGAAUGCUCUUUCCACUGGGUUAAGGUGAUGGGGAAGAGAAGAUAGGAAACUUUGUUCACAGUCGGUGGCAAAAAUUAGCACUGAUCUCUGGGCUGAAAAGUCAGCGUGGGAUCGACCCUUUUGUCUUGUGCUUCCUGCAGCCUGCAGACGGGUGUGGAUCCGCAGGGCUGAAGUGGGAUCUGCUAGAUCUAAUUACCCCCUAAUUAUAAUACAUUAAACAAUUAAAAUAAUGGAGAUCGGGCGCAAUCAGAUCUCAAAACAAAGCGAUUUAGCACGAUGAGAUGUUGAAAACUGUGCAGAUGCUGCUGCUAAUCCUGGAGGAGGUCCAACAUAAACAAUCCAAUACCCAGCCAGCUGGGAAGACAGCGAGCUCGAGGUAAUAUCAGGUUCCCAGCAUAAAGCGUGAGGGGGUAGGUGGAUUUUCUCCCUCCGUUAUCCAGCUGUAUGUUUAGACAAGAGCAAACUACUGUGUAUUUCAAAACGUGUGUAUGUGUGCAGGUGAACGAUGGAAAUGUAUGGGCCUCGAGGGGGCAGGGGACUCGCCGCUUUAAAUGCUCGGUGCAUUAUACAUGUAGCUGUAUUUUAUUUUUGAUUUUAAGAGUUACGUGGUUAGUAAUUUACUGUAACUUUAGCCCUGAAGAAUCUGGCUUUGGUGGACAACUCCGGGAGCCAAAGGUGUUCUUUGUCCAUAAAACAGUUCUUUGGGAGACGCACGUGAAGUCCUGCACGGAUGGGUGCCCCACAUGCUGAGACACAAAUGCUGGAGCCUCUGCUCCACAGCAGGCAGCGGAUGGACAGGAGCAAGGCUGCUUAACUCCAGGCUGACCCAGGAAUGACAAAUUUUUGGCAUACUGGGCUUGACCUCUCCCUUCUGGCCUGUCAGCUGUUGUUUCCCAGUGCCCUUGGACGGGCUGGAUUUGCUCUUGCUGAUGCUCUUUGUGUAGUUCUCUCCCCGGGUACGCAUGUUGAAGCCAGGCUUUUAGGUCUUUGGGUGGGUCUUGAAAUUGCCAAUUAAAACCCCACAUCUCGGCUGUUAUGAGAAGCUUUGCUGAGGUCCAGAAGUUGCUGGAAGCCUGAUACACGCCACAAUUUACUGGCUGUGAAUUAUGUAGAUACUCAUAUUUUUAAUUUCCUUUCAUUUAGUUGUGUGUGCAGGACCUCUGUCACGACCAGCGGGGAGCUCUCCUGGGUACAAAGAGGCAAUUCAGUGUCUGUGCCAACCCUGGCUUGUAAAAGCCUGGCAGCCCUUGACAAACAAAGCCUAGAAAUGUUGCUAUUAAAAGCAUUUAUUGAAUAAAUCCAUAUGUGACAAAAUGA